AAGUCGUAACAAGGUUUCCGUAGGUGAACCUGCGGAAGGAUCAUUAGUGAUUAUGAAAGGUUGUCUUCUGUGCUAGCUGCGGCAAGUGCACGAUGGUGACUUUCAUCCAACACCCUUGUGAACCUUUGGCCUCUUGCUGGCUUCGGCUGGCUGAGGAUUUACACAAACUCGCAUGUAUUGAGGACCCUUCAUGUGCGCAAGCACUAAUAAUACAACUUUCAACAACGGAUCUCUUGGCUCUCGCAUCGAUGAAGAACGCAGCGAAAUGCGAUAAGUAAUGUGAAUUGCAGAAUUCAGUGAAUCAUCGAAUCUUUGAACGCACCUUGCACCCUUUGGCAUUCCGAAGGGUAUGCUCGUUUGAGUGUCAUUUGUACUCUCACACUCCCAAUCUUUGGAUUGGGAGCGGUGGACUUGGGUGUUGCUGCUUGACUGUGGCUCACCUGAAAUAUAUUAGUGCACCUCUUGAUUGGACAUAGUACGGCGUGAUAAGUGUCUUCGCCGGCUCCUCGCAAUGAGGGUGGCUGAUCGGGAGCUCUGUUGCUUCAAACUGUCUUCGGACAAUCUUCUGGCGACUUGACCUCAAAUCGAGUAGGACUACCCGCUGAACUUAAGCAUAUCAAUAAGCGGAGGAAAAGAAACUAACAAGGAUUCCCCUAGUAACGGCGAGUGAAGAGGGAAGAGCUCAAAUUUUGAAUCUGGCGUCUUCGGCGUCCGAGUUGUAAUCUAGAGAAGUGUUUUCCGUGGCGGACCGUGCAUAAGUCUCCUGGAAUGGAGCGCCAUAGAGGGUGAGAAUCCCGUAUGUGGCACGGACUCCCGUUACUUUGUGAUACACUCUCAACGAGUCGAGUUGUUUGGGAAUGCAGCUCCAAAUGGGUGGUAAAUGCCAUCUAAAGCUAAAUAUUGGCGAGAGACCGAUAGCAAACAAGUACCGUGAGGGAAAGAUGAAAAGCACUUUGGAAAGAGAGUGAAACAGUACGUGAAAUUGUUGAAAGGGAAACGCUUGAAGUCAGUCGUGCCCUUUGGGAUUCAGCCUUGCUUCUGCUCGGUUUACUUCCCUUUGGGUGGGUCAACAUCAGUUUGAGUCGGAGGAGAAAGACUUGGGGAAGGUGGCAGCAUUCGUGCUGUGUUAUAGCCCCUUGUUGUAUACUUCGACUUGGACUGAGGACCGCAGCACGCCUUUGGCCGGGGUUCGCCCACGUACGUGCUUAGGAUGUUGGCAUAAUGGCUUUAAGCGACC
rnacentral:rRNA from 1 species